AUUAAGCUGCAGGGCCACUGUUGGUUGCUUCUGCUGCACUUGCCCAUAUGAAGGACAAAAAUCUCAACCUCCAUGUUGAGGACAAGAGAUCCUGAGCCAGAGCUUCCUGGACAGGCCUAGCAAAUGCCACAAGCCCUCGCCGAUUCUUGCUCUGAGUCCCAGCUGUUGCUGGCAAAAAGGAUACUGCCAUCUCCUGUCUGCUGCAGUUGGCAUAGUUAAUGAUUUUAUGCCGGCAGUUGCCGUGUCACUCCACAGGGUCCGGGGCAAGCCAGCUAGCUCGGAGUCUGGGGCCCAGAGUGAGGGAAGAGUCCUUGCCAAUCAGCAGGACACACCUGGGCCGGGGGCUCAGACACACCUGCACCUACACCUGCACCCAGUGAGGCAACAGCCAGACAGGCUAGAGGUUUCAGCGUUCAGCAAGCUCACAGUAUUGGAGCCAACAUGGGCUCUUAUAAUCACUGAAUGCAACCUCAUCUUACAUCUGAGGAAAGGGUGAGACUGGGAGGGUAACCUGCUGCCAUCAUUCACCUGAGCACCUCUUAAAAGUACUGAGCCACCACGCCCGACCAGUGGAUUUGUAUUUCUAAGAAACUUCAUUGAAAAAACCUGAAAACCUCUCACAUGAAACCCUGGGUCUUAAGAAGAAUACUGCUAGCCCAGGACAAAGUCCUGCUUCUCCCCGACACGAACCUCUGUGGAACACUUGACCCCGUUAUCAUCUCAUGCAAAAUUUUUAAAGUGGAACUAGUACGGCAUCUAUAUAUAUAAAGCUGCCUCAGAAUAAUAGUAACAGAGGGAGAAGGUUGUCACAGAGCAGGUGAAUACUGUUUGUGACCAAAAUUUUUGCUACAAAUUACACAAAUGUAUAAAAUAGCUUUGUGCUAAGUAGGGGUGGGGAUGGGGCAGCUCUUGGGUGGCUCUUACUUCACCCCUCUCGGGGAAAGCAGGGACAGAAGCCCCCACUCAGCCCUCAGUGACUUCAGAUCUCACCUUCAGUGGUCACUCCUGGUGGUCAAGCUGGUGGUCUGGUCAUUGGUUACCCGUGGCCCACCAUCCAGCAUGAGGCUUUCACCUCUGCAAACCUCUGUGCUGAUCUGGAGACUGCGUUCAGACUCAGCUGGGUUAGAAUGCUCCUUUCUUUCCUUCCUUCUUUCCUCCCUUCCUUCCCCUCCCUCACUCCUUCCCUCUCUUCCUUCCUUCCCCUCCUUCCCUCCCUCCCUUCCCCUCCCUCACUCCUUCCCUCUCUUCCUUCCUUCCCCUCCUUCCCUCCCUCCCUCCUUCAUUGCUUCCCCUCC
rnacentral:lncRNA from 10 species